rnacentral:rRNA from 1 species
GUCUAUGGCCAUGCCACCCUGAACGCGCCGGAUCCCAUCUCAUCUCGGAAGCUAAGCAAGGUCGGGCCUGGUUAGUACUUGGAUGGGAGACCACCUAGGAAGACCAGGUGCCGUAGGCG